GUCACUACCAUGCUAUGACCGCUUCCCAUUUAGUUCUUGCUCUAGUGUUAUUUGUGCUCCACAGGAAUUGCCGUCUCAAAUUAGGGAGAAAACAGGAGUGGAAACAGGAACGUAGAAAGAGAACAAAGAAAGCAAGGCUGAAGAAAACAUUCUCUACUAGCAAAUGUUGUGUUAGAUAAGGCCCCGAGAUACCUAAAGUCCAAUGGGUAAGGAUCAAGAGGGAAACUGAGUUUCAGACAUAUUA
rnacentral:lncRNA from 1 species